GAACUAUUUCACGAAGGAUCUAUGAGUAUCUCAUUCGGCGGCACCAGCAGCAGCAGCAAAUCCAGGAGGCGCAACAUCAGAGGAUUGUGGAUCUAGUUAAACGCCUGGAGGAAAGCUUGUUUAAGAGUGCUUCGACGAAGGAGGAGUAUAUGGAUCUAUCGACUCUGGAGAACCGAUUACUUUCUGUGAUUAAACGCCUUCCUCGGAAUAAUCACAGCCAACAAUUCUCCCACAUAAAUUCAUCUGCCUCCAUUGGUACAAUGAUAC
rnacentral:misc_RNA from 1 species